AGAAAGGGGGCUUCGGUCCCUGAGUAAAGUGGCGAACUGGUGAGUAACAGGUGGGUAACGCACCCCGAUGUGGGGGAUAACUCCGGGAAACCGGGGAUAAUACCGCAUAAGGCCGAAUGGGUUUAGGCCCGGAAGGUUAAAGCAGUAGUGCGCUUCAGGAUCGGCCCGCCCCCGAUUAGCUUGAUGGUGAGGUAAUGGCUCACCAUGGCAACUAUCGGUAGCUGGUCUGAGAGGAUGGUCAGCCACACUGGGACUGAGAUACGGCCCAGACUUCUACGGAGGGCAGCAGUCUAGAAGCUUCGGCAAUGGAGGAAACUCUGACCGAGCGACGCCGCGUGCGGGAUUGAAGGUGUUUUCAUCGUAAACCGCUGUCAUGAGGGAAGAAUGCCCCGAUGGUGAAUCGGGGAGAGACGGUACCUCAGGAGGAAGCCCCGGCUAACUACGUGCCAGCAGCCGCGGUAAUACGUAGGGGGCUAGCGUUGUUCGGAUUUACUGGGCGUAAAGGGAGCGUAGGCGGCCGGCCAAGUCCGGUGUGAAAUCUUUACCGCUUAACGGAAAGAGGUCACCGGAAACUGGUCGGCUUGAGUCGGGUAGAGGCAAGCGGAAUUCCUGGUGUAGCGGUGGAAUGUGUAGAUAUCAGGAAGAACACCGGUGGCGAAGGCGGCUUGCUGGGCCCGCACUGACGCUGAGGCUCGAAAGCGUGGGGAGCGAACGGGAUUAGAUACCCCGGUAGUCCACGCUGUAAACGGUGCGCACUAGGUGUGGGGGGUAUCGACCCCCUCUGUGCCGCAGCUAACGCAUUAAGUGCGCCGCCUGGGGAGUACGGCCGCAAGGUUGAAACUCAAAGGAAUUGACGGGGGCCCGCACAAGCGGUGGAGGAUGUGGUUUAAUUCGACGCAACGCGAAGAACCUUACCUGGGCUUAAACCGCGGAGUAAACCCUAUGAAAAUAGGGCUGUGGCAACACGACCUAUGAGAGGUGCUGCAUGGCUGUCGUCAGCUCGUGUCGUGAGAUGUUGGGUUAAGUCCCGCAACGAGCGCAACCCCUGUCGCCAGUUGCCAUCAUUAAGUUGGGAACUCUGGCGAGACUGCCGGUGCAAAACCGGAGGAAGGUGGGGAUGACGUCAAGUCCUCAUGGCUCUUACGGCCAGGGCUACACACGUACUACAAUGGCAAAGACAAAGGGCCGCUAACUCGCGAGAGUACGCUAAUCCCAUAAAACCAGUCUCAGUUCGGAUUGGAGUCUGCAACUCGACUCCAUGAAGCUGGAAUCGCUAGUAAUCGGAGAUCAGCACGCUCCGGUGAAUACGUUCCCGGGCCUUGUACACACCGCCCGUCACACCACGAAAGUCGGUUGUUCCAGAAGUCGCUGUCGG
rnacentral:rRNA from 1 species